UUGUGUUUCAGACACCGAGUCAGGUAGAGGUAGCCUUCAAGGCUGGGUUUUUAUUAGAGACUUAAAGGCGUGUUACUCCGUAUUCGGGUAACCGUAUCAGUUCGUCUUUAUUAUUUCUUUCACCUCUUAAGUUAAAAUAGACUCUUCUACCAGGUUUUCGGUACUUUUUAGUUGGCGUUUCGCCGGGCAGUUUUCUGUCCUGUUUUCCGUUUUCCCCUUUCUCCUCUGGUGCUCCCCCUAUAUUAUAUUGGGGAGAACCCUGGAUUAUAUUAGAGUGAUUAUCACACAUUCAGUGGUUAACUUGAAGAUUCCUUUUUCGGUCGCGUCUGGUCCUCCGUCCACGUCCUUUUCAUGGCAAGGGUCCAGCAAACCAAAUGCAUAAUAAUGCAAUUCUAAAAACAUGCUAACUUUAAGAAACGUUAAUAGAAUGUCCAUUGUUCACUUAGACCAUAAUGAUAAUUCCUCCAGGAAAAUUCUGUUUCACCGCUGCAUACUUCUACAAAGCCUGUUGCUGUCUGAGGAGAACACAAGGAGAUGGAGAGGUAGAGGGAAGGAGACAGGAUUUGUCCAUGAGGGGAAAGAAGAUGCCACAGAAGAUGCGGGGUGACAAUGGCUCAGAUGAUGAGAGCAGUCGUCU